GCUCUGUCCUGCUUGUCUUUCUCAGCUUUUGCUUUGUGCGAUCAGGGGAGGAACCCCACGCAGGGGAACGGUUAGUGGCUUUGGGGUCUCUUUGGUGGCCCUGUUUGAAGGAGGAGGCAGGCCAAGGGUGCAGGGUCAGGCCCAGGGGCAGAAAGGGAUGAGGCGAUGACCACAGUCGGGGAUCCAGGCCCGGCAAGCGGCAGAGGUGCCGGAGAGGACCAGCCGCCGGGCAGAGAUCGAAGCAGAAAAACAUUUAUGGCCGCGCGCCCGAAAGCGGGGAGCAAGGCCGGGGCUCUGGUAGCCCUGGGAAGGUUGCCUUCCUGAGGUCUUUAAAAAAGAGGAGAGAGAGCGAGAGAGAGAGAGAGAGAGAAGGGAGGGGUUGGGGCGCCUUGAAUUUUCCUUCCCGGGCUUGGAGCGCAGCGCAUUUCUGUAAAGGAAGAGAAGAGCACCGUCCUGGAUCUUUCCACGUCCGCCUCAUUCUAUCCAGGCCUCUCCCCUUGCCCGAGCUCUCAGCCGCCACCAGGAGACUGACACGGAAGGGGCUUCUGGGCCGCCCCCCACCAACUCCUGCCUGGUUUCCCAAACUUCAGCGACCUCCAGCCCUCUUUGGGUGGAAAAUAGCAGGGCCCAGGCACCUCUUCUUCUUGUCAUUUGUGACCCGUGCUCUCAUCAGGAAUAUCUUACAAAGAAGGAGAGGAAGAAAGUGGAAAAGAAUCCCGUGCACGCAGGCAUCUCCUACUUUUUCCCCACUACGCGCCCCGUCUGGAGAUGCGGCUGAAACUCUGAUUAUUUCCCCCCAUUACAUGGAUGAGGAAGUGGAGGCCUCUCGCUGGGGAAGUGAUUUGUUUAAGGCAACUAGGAGCAGAGAGCUCUGACAAGAAUUCCGGCAGUCCGACUCCCACCCAGGGUUCUUCUCAUUGGACCGUGCAUAAACAUGAACCUCAUGCAGCCAUAAAAUAGAGAAUUUGUGAAUAAAUACCUAUCCGAUUAAUGAAAUUACCGAGGCUCCAGUUGCACGUACAUUUGCAUGGUGCUUACCUAGACAAGGCUAUGGACACCCAAGAGUUGCACAUUUGCAUCUGCGGAGACAAACACACACCUCAGUUCACACGGCUAUGCUUCCCUUAGUUCUACACUUGUAGAUCAGUUAUUUUGAAAAGGUAUGCUGCGCAGGAUGUACAGGGGAAAAAAAAGAAAAAGGGGUUCAGAUCGUUUCCUCCAGGCGUGCCUGUUCUGAGCGCUGCCGUGAAGAACUGGGCUAUCGACAUACCCCCGGUGAGAAGGUACCAACAGGACACUUGGAAGGAAGAGAGAGCCCUGAAAUUAGGCAUAUGGAGCCCAGAACCAUAAACACACAGAGAGUUUGGUGAGAAAGGUAAAACAUGGGUGAGCUAUUGCCCUGUGCCUCUUAAUAAACUGCAACUUUGCACACAGGGAUACGCGAUUUUUUUCUCGCUCUCAUACAUGGAUAUGCUCAGAUAAAGCCAUCACAUAUAUUUCCAUAAGCAGUGUAUGGCACCCGGCCACCUUCAUAUACAUGUCAUGCAGCCAUGUCUUUAGGGAGAGGGAUACCUGCGCACAGGUAUAGGAAUCAGAGAAACAGGACUUCUGGUCUCCUGUCCACCACUUGCUGAGCAUGUCACCUUCAGCAAGUCACAUCACCCCUCUUUGGCUCAGUGACCCCUUUGGAAAAAAAAAAGAUAGAUAUGAAUAGCUAAGCUGCUCAUGUCAAACUAUGCUAAAUAUUAAAAAACUAUUUUAUCUAUAAAUCUAUAUUUUAUUCUAUGAAUCACACUAAAAUAAUGAAUACACACCUAUAACAUACACAGCAUGUAAAUAUUUCUACGUAUCUAUCUAUCUAUAUUUAUCUAUCUUUCUGUCAAAUUUAAUCUCUGACAUAGAGAAAUUCAGUAACUUGCCCAAGAUAACACAAUUCAAAUACAGCAUGGACCAGUGAAACAAUGAUGCGUUUUGGAGGUAGAAGCAGCAGUAAAGAGCC
rnacentral:lncRNA from 9 species